rnacentral:rRNA from 1 species
UGGGGAAUAUUGGACAAUGGGCGAAAGCCUGAUCCAGCCAUGCCGCGUGUGUGAAGAAGGUCUUCGGAUUGUAAAGCACUUUAAGUCGGGAGGAAGGGCAGUAAGCGAAUACCUUGCUGUUUUGACGUUAUCGACAGAAUAAGCACCGGCUAACUCUGUGCCAGCAGCCGCGGUAAUACAGAGGGUGCAAGCGUUAAUCGGAAUUACUGGGCGUAAAGCGCGCGUAGGUGGUUCGUUAAGUUGAAUGUGAAAGCCCCGGGCUCAACCUGGGAACUGCAUCCAAAACUGGCGAGCUAGAGUAGGGCAGAGGGUGGUGGAAUUUCCUGUGUAGCGGUGAAAUGCGUAGAUAUAGGAAGGAACACCAGUGGCGAAGGCGACAACCUGGGCUCAUACUGACACUGAGGUGCGAAAGCGUAGGGAGCAAACAGG